CAGUAUGAUAAUAUAAUUCUUCAAAGUUGAGAAUUUUGUACAGUAAUUAAUUUUUUGUCACAACGAUAACAUUUCUAUAACCUACUAAUAUCCUAUUCUAGGAGAAAGGAAAACCUAACCAACGAAAAUCACCGUCGGAGAAAGCCACUGAAAGUGGCAAGCCAGGUGUAGUGGCCGGUAGGAGGCAAGGUUUGAUUCUUUAAUCUCACCAACAGCCCAAGUGAGAGAAUUUUGUAUGGUACUUGUUUUCUACUAUUUGGUGUGAAAUCCAUGAUUAAUUCUGAUAUCUUUUUUUUGCUUUCUUUUCUGUAUAUCAAUAAAGAAGAUUAUAUAGUAAUUGAUUCCAGGUAUCAGGCAGUCCAGCUAUACACCAGUGGGUGCAGUCAGCAGCAGCAGUUGCAGCGCCAUAAAAGGACGGAUGUGCAUCUACACGGAAUUGAGAAAGGGUGGUUAUAUCCAGCAAUUUCACAGGAACCCUCAUCUCGCUCAAUACUUUCUUCUGCACUGCUAAAGCUGGUGGCAAUACUCCUGGAUAUGUUGGCCCGGGCACCGGCCGAGUUUGCCCAGCACAGUUUUUCACUUGAGGUUGGUUCCAAUCACUCCCCCUGUUGUUCACCAGUUAAAGAAUGAAGUGAAAUGGGGGAAGACAUAGAGAGAAAGAUACAGCAUCGGAUUGUAAUUGCACACAUUCAUACUAUAGGUUAUGUAACAUUCACAAUGAAAAAGGCAAAAGUAAUAUCAAUUUAGUGCAGUUGUUAAUGUUGAGAUACUAAAAAUUAGAGUUCUGGGUUUAAUUUCUUCCUCCUCCUCCUCCUCCCCCUUCUCCACACUUUUUUUUUUUUUAAAAGGUACAUGAUCACGAAUCACCUCUUUUUGUAUAGAGGACUUUACAGUGGAUAGAAGAUUUUUUCGGAAUAAGAGUAUAGUAUUUUUCUUUUUGUGUGUGAGAUAAAAAGAUAUUUGAAAAAAUAUUAAUGUGAUAAAAAAUAGAGUAUCCUAUAGUAGGUGUUUCUAUAUUCUUUUCUUUUUUGAUCUUAAAUUAUGUUAACUGGCAAAAAAAAAAAAAAAAGAAAGUGGAUUUGUUAAGGAUUUUUUUUAUUUAACUUUAGACAAAUUAAAGAAGAAACAAGAACGGCCUUUCAAUUUUUCAACUGUCUUUGUUGAUAUAUGUCUGCAUGAAAGUUGUUUAAGCAGUAGGUAGUUGGAUAGGUUUUUGACAUGAGAAGGGGGGGGGGGGGGAGAAGGGUAGUUGGCCGGGGGGGGGGUGAGAAGGGUAGUGACACGAUUUUUUAAUUGCCUUUGACAAUUUAUUAAUUGUCUUCAACAAUGUACUAAUUUUUUUUUAUUUUCUAGGUUUCUUGGGUUAAAAAAAUUUUGUGCAGUUUUCAAUGUUUUUGUUUAGACUUUGGUAGAAAGUUUGUAAAGAACAAGAAGGUGUCACUGAUUACAUAAAUGGCAAGGCAUCAAGUUCAUUGUCAUACAGCAGUUCACGUCAUGCAAUAUACAUCGGAUUAUUUAGAUUUUUUAUGUUUUUUACUUAAAAGCACAAUACAUCUUAUGUUUUCAUUUUGCUUCUAUUAGCUGUGAACAGAUUUAGAAGGUUACUGUGUUCCUAUGACUUGAUUGAUUCUAAAUUCUGAUCUUUUAUUAAUACUUCAUUCGGCUUCUUUUCUUUUCACAUUAACCUUUAAGCCAUUUAUAUUAAGUACCAAAAUUGAUGUUUUGGUAACGGGUUGGCCAUUCUUUUGUUUACAGAAGAUCAGCCAAGAUUUGAUCUUGCCUAUUUUCAAGUUUUUAAAUGUUAUCAUAUCAUCGAAUGUUUUUUUUUUUUUUGCAUUUUUGAAUUAUUAAUCACUGAAAUAGAUGUUUAAAUUUACAUUAUAAGACUAUUUUUGAAUAACAAUGUGCACAUAGUAAUAUAUUUAAGAAAGGUUAUAAUAGAUCAUACAAUAAGUUUGAAUGUUAUGCAAAUAUUUUUAUGAACUACACUAAAUAAUUUAUUAUUUUUAAACAACUCCCAUUCAACGAAUGGGUACAAAACUAGUUAAAGAAGAAACAAGAACCGCCUUUCAAUUUUUCAACUGUCUUUGUUGAUAUAUGUCUGCAUGAAAGUUGUUUAAGCAGUAGGUAGUUGGAUAGGUUUUUGACAUGAGAAUUAAAUCUAAGAUAAUUCAGUGACUAAAAGGCAUUAUCUAAUCAUGUCAACAAAGAAGACAUUUUGUUUUGGUUGGGGCCCCCGCAAGCGAAGGAUGUUUUUUACGAUACUCCAUAAUUCAUCUCGAAAAUGAGAAGUGAUAUUUUGGAGCACUUACUUGUAAUGGGAUGGAGAAACUCCAAGAAAGAAAACGGUGGUUUUAGCAGGAUCUACAUUUGUGUCCACCCAUUUAGCCCAUGUCUCAAGUGCGGUCUCAAAAGCCACCAUCCGGUCCAUGUCUUUCAAGAGCCUUGUUCCUAUCUGAAUAUAUUUCCACCUGCACAUUCAACAGUUAUUCAAGAAUUCAAUUGCUUGAAGAAUUCUUGAGCUUGGCUCGCAAAUACAGUAUGGAAAGAAAGAUUAUCAAAAUUGUUGGGACAUGAACUAACGGUUGUUGAGCUCCUUUGUAGCCCCACCAAUGCCAUGUAUUGAAGGCAAGCAGGUCAUGACCUGACCAUAGCUUUUCACUUCCUGCAACUGAAUCUAGUUUUAGAACUACACCGAUCUUUUCUGGCACCAGAUCCACCAGAAAGGCAUUUCUAUCAAGGAUCAGUGUGAGUCCAUAGUCCUGUGACAACAUACAAUUGAAAAUUAUAAUUGAUGCGGCAGAAUUAGUAGUUCAAGUUGUUGCAGGAACAGGUACUUUCUGAAGUUGGAUUGAAUUUUUUAGUACAGUUCAGGUGAUCUAAAACUGGUUAAGGUCUGGUUAGUUUCAAUUCGAUCUAAAACUGGUCGUCAAAUCCGAUAAAAUUAUGUCAACGAUGAUUGAAUUAUUGUUGGACCAUCAUGUUAGAUAAGGGAUCAUUAUCAUUGUUGAUUUUCACGAAGCUAGCUACAGGUUGUUCAGCAUAGAAUAGAGAUCAAAGUUUUUGCUAGGUGAAAAAUCUGCCUAAAGUUUCAGAUGCAGGAUUGCACUAGUAAAAGAAAGGGACUGCAGGAGGACCACCUUAACAAUUUUCGCCUAACCAGGACAAAGUUGGCUUGAAGCAACUUGCCAACUUGGUUGGUUGAUUCGUUGUUACACGCUUCUUGCUUGUAUCUUUGUUUUCCCAAUCAUUAUCCACUAGUUGGAGAAUUAGAGGUCCACACUUCAAAACUUUUCAAUUCAGAUUUUCAAUCAUGUAUUCAUUUGUUUAUAUUAGUGGAUAAUGACAUUCAUUUGCGGACUGCAGGCCAAGAGAUUAAGCUUACCAAGAAUUUCAAGGUGGAGAUUAGGCCUACUCUUGUCAUGUUGUAAUUUGUCCCCGGCACGCUAGUGUAGAGCAAGCAGGCCAGGGACAUAUACUGAUCACGGGUCAGAGAAUCGCCUGCAAACAAAAUGCUCUUUCCCCUGAACUUUUGCAAGAAUGCACGGCCGUCAAAUCUGCAUGAGACCAGCAACGCUUUCACACAUUGGGGUUUUAGUAUUUUUCGAGUAGCAGAUUAUAAAGAGUUGAUGGAGUAAAUACCCUGGUAAUCACUCGAGGAGAGAAAAGGGAUUAUGGGCAAUCGAAUAUGUUAAUAAGUUAGUUAAUUAACAUAAUAACAUUUAAAUGGUUGAGUCAGACUGUAGAGAAAAAUGAUGAAGCAACAAAUGACAAUACCACCAAAUCUUUAAGGUGUUCUUUACCAAAAAAAAAAAAUUAUAAAAGAAAAAGAAAACCAAGUCUUUAAGGUGUGUAGGCUUCUGAGCAACGAACAGCUUUAUCUAAUUUUCGUUUCUUUUCUUUUCUUUUUUUCACAGAACAGCUUCGAUUCCGAACAGUGCACGAAUUUUUAUUGUUUUGGAUUCAUGUAGUUUAGUCAUUAGUGAACUUCUUUGAGAAAAUAAAGCAGCAAUCUUUGUUUUUGGUACGGUAUAUAUAGUGGCAAUCAUUGGUAUAUAUGGAUCUUAGAUUCCUUGUCUGGGAAUCUUAUGUCCCGCAAAUUACAAUGAAGUUUGUAUCUUAUUUACAUGAUUAAUUAAGGUUGGUUAUGGUUUCAGCUACCCCUCUUAAUCUCGCUUGAAGUGAGUUAAUUGUUCUUGAUUAGGUAUCCAACGAAAAUCACCGUCGGAGAAAGCCACUGAAAGUGGCAAGCCAGGUGUAGUGGCCGGUAGGAGGCAAGGUUUGAUUCUUUAAUCUCACCAACAGCCCAAGUGAGAGAAUUUUGUAUGGUACUUGUUUUCUACUAUUUGGUGUGAAAUCCAUGAUUAAUUCUGAUAUCUUUUUUUUGCUUUCUUUUCUGUAUAUCAAUAAAGAAGAUUAUAUAGUAAUUGAUUCCAGGUAUCAGGCAGUCCAGCUAUACACCAGUGGGUGCAGUCAGCAGCAGCAGUUGCAGCGCCAUAAAAGGACGGAUGUGCAUCUACACGGAAUUGAGAAAGGGUGGUUAUAUCCAGCAAUUUCACAGGAACCCUCAUCUCGCUCAAUACUUUCUUCUGCACUGCUAAAGCUGGUGGCAAUACUCCUGGAUAUGUUGGCCCGGGCACCGGCCGAGUUUGCCCAGCACAGUUUUUCACUUGAGGUUGGUUCCAAUCACUCCCCCUGUUGUUCACCAGUUAAAGAAUGAAGUGAAAUGGGGGAAGACAUAGAGAGAAAGAUACAGCAUCGGAUUGUAAUUGCACACAUUCAUACUAUAGGUUAUGUAACAUUCACAAUGAAAAAGGCAAAAGUAAUAUCAAUUUAGUGCAGUUGU
rnacentral:lncRNA from 1 species